UAGGGAAUCUUCGGCAAUGGACGAAAGGCUGACCGAGCAACGCCGCGGGAGUGAAGAAGGUUUUCGGAUCGUAAAACUCUGUUGUUAGAGAAGAACAAGGACGUUAGUAACUGAACGUCCCCUGACGGGAUCUAACCAGAAAGCCACGGCUAACUACGUGCCAGCAGCCGCGGUAAUAAGUAGGUGGCAAGCGUUGUCCGGAUUUAUUGGGCGUAAAGCGAGCGCAGGCGGUUUCUUAAGUCUGAUGUGAAAGCCCCCGGCUCAACCGGGGAGGGUCAUUGGAAACUGGGAUCCUUGAGUGCAGAAGAGGAGAGUGGAAUUCCUUGUUUAGCGGUGAAAUGCGUAGAUAUAUGGAGGAACACCAGUGGCGAAGGCGGCUCUCUGGUCUGUAACUGACGCUGAGGCUCGAAAGCGUGGGGAGCAAACAGG
rnacentral:rRNA from 1 species